UGCAAGCAAGCCGCCUAAUAGCCCUCCAGUCAUCAUCGAGCCUGCCAUAAAAUCUUGGUUGCGGCAUGCAUCCGAGCGUCUUGUGCCCAAAGCGCAAAAGCAGCGUUCCAGAACGGAUGAAGUGCACCAAGCAAGAGGUCUCCGCACGCGCAGCUGCACUCUGUCCUUCAUAUUCUACCAUUUGUUGCCUUCUAACGACGAGUGAAGAUAACCUACGGCCGGGACCUUACGGCCAAGUCAGUGGAUCCCGGAGCCUGCGACGACUUGCGGCGACGAUAAUCAACGUUGAAGCAAGCACAUAUAAGGACUUGUAAAACUGCUAACAGCCUCAUCCGGCAAUGGUGGCGGCGGAGUUGCAUCUGGCCUAAUCGCCGGCGAUUUUCGCUGCAGGCUGAACAUUUCAUUGCAUACUUCUUGGACACUGGUGUGCCUGGUUGUAAAGCAAAGCGUUGUAACGCACCACAUACGCAAUUCUUGGAACGUAGCAUCAGCGACGGUUUAUUUUUAGCACCACAGAUGAAGUGGAAACCUUGAGAACCUUCGUGAGCCUCAAAAAUAGCAAGGUCUUAGAUGUAUACAAUAUGCAAAUAA
rnacentral:lncRNA from 1 species